AAAAAAAAACUAGAAAAAGAAAACGGGAAGGGAGGGCUCUUCCCAAAGACCCACUUCCAGUCAUUACUGUGAGUUAACCCGCAUUUUCCAAACAAGCCAUUAGAGAGAGAGAAAGAGAGAGGCAGAUUUUCGAAGGGUAUUGGAAUUUCUCGUUCUUACUGCGAUUCUGCGAAUCGCAAUCUGCGCUGAAUUCUUCAAGCCUUUCAACGUGAGCUACGAUCACAGAGCUUUGAUCAUCGAUGGCAAGCGGCGCAUGCUUAUCUCCUCUGGCAUCCAUUACCCUCGAGCGACACCUGGUUCCUGCUGGUUUCCAUCUUCCUUGCUAGAUCGAGAAAGGCCAUUGCAACUUGCAAGAGCUUCAAGAAAAAAGAUAUGUGCUUUGUUCUCACAUCAAUACUACCAUUUCAUUCAGCUAUUUGUUUUUUUAUUGGCGUCAAUGCUGCCAUUUCAUUCACAUAUUGCUUAGAGCUUUUUUAUGUCAAGUUGAUUUAUAGCAUGGUUAACCUAUGUUUGAAAAAUCAAAAUCAACAGGGAAUUCUACUAGGUAGAUUCAAUAGAAUUCAAUAAAAAAAAUUAAAAAUUAAAAAUAGGACAAGUUGGAUUUUUUUUUAGUAAUUGCAUAAAUGCACUGAUUUUGUUACUCUCAAUUCUCAUAUCUCAGUUGAAUUAAUUAACUCAGUUGUGGAGGAUCUCUUACAUGUUAGGAUGUAACUAAAGGUUGUUUAGGUGGACCAACUAUGUAUGUUAUUCAGUAAUCUGGUUGUCUGUCCAAACAUUAUUUAGUACUUUGUAUUUGUAUGGUAGGCAACGUUGGUGCACCCAAAUAAAAAUCCUGGAGAUCCAAAGGCAGCAUGGGAACUAGAGCUAUACACGAGCUGAACCGAGUUGAGCUUGGCUCAGCUAGCCUGCUGUGAACCGAGUCAAGCUUGGCUCAGCUUGGCUCAACUCGGCCAGCAGGCUACCCUAUCAUUUUGUACAAUACCAAUAUUAAUUUUGGCUUUUGGGGCUGGCUUCUUUGUGCGUUGAUACUGAUAUUUUAUAUUCUCAGCACACAACUUUUGAAUUUCAUGUUUAUCGGGAGAAAGGUGUUAGGGAUAAGGAAAGAUUUAUGUAUGAGAUGGAAGAGUACAAGGAGAGAUUGAAGACACACCCGAUUAUCAGAAAUGUUGUGCUAAUCUAGCAGCGGCCAGCAGUGUCGGUGGUAGUAGUUCCAAAGAAACAUCCUAUCCUAAAUUGUCUGAUUGGUGCAUCAGGCUACAUGACUAAAUCUCAAGAUGGAGACUUUGGCAGUAACCGUUCAAGAUGGGUUCCAAUGCUACUUAGUUGAAACGAUGUGUGGACAAAGCGGCUGGAGAUAGUUAGCCGUAUUGACCAAGUUAGUAGUAGACCACUUGGAGCAAUUUUUUUCUUAUGAAGAAUGUGAGGAUCUACAUUUUAGAACGAAAGAAGGCCAUCUUAAAAGGCCCACUAUGCCGUUAUGAUCCCCUAAUGUGUAACGGUUGCCACCAUUACCUUUACAACACACCAAGCUAGUGAGUAAUUAGAUAGGAAAGCUUCUUUUUCUUUUUUUGCUUUUUAGAUUAAUCAUGUAUUGAUGUGGAUUUGACAGUUGGGUAUUGGUACUUUAAAGACACUGCAUCAAUGGUAGUAUGCUACACAAUCCAAGGUUGCCGUUUCAAUUUUAAGUUGCUCAUUACUUUUUUUAUUGCUCUUCAUUGGUCAAUAAAAUAUAAUAUCUUUUAUUUGUCCGAUUCUCUUGUUGUGCCCAUUGGUCCCAUCCAAAAGAAAAGAUGGUAUCCCACAUUUGGAAAAUAUUUGAUUGUAAGAUCUUACAUAUUCUUAACUAGCAAUGUAUAUAUUAGCUCGUUGCAGCCAUGUAGAUGGGCAAGGCCCUCUUGUGUUAUGUUCUUUUUCUCAUUCACCUGCAUUCUUUUCCAUCAUGUAGACUAUAUACCUUUGAAUUAAUUAAUUACUGUCAAAAGUUUGUUUUAUUUUCUACCUUCGUUUUUAGACAUUUCAGAAAUUGCCCAUACUCUACUUUUCAAACCUGUUAAAAAUAACAUAAAGUGUACAUCAACACAGCCAUAACUGAGAACUUUCUUUUUGGAAGUUGGCAUGACCAAGUUCCAUGUCCCAUGUAGAACUUGACACCUGUACACACAUAACAUGGCAUGUAUGUUCACAUACUCGAUUUUCUUAUCAAUACUCAAACUAAUAAUACUAUCUUGUUGUUGGCCCACAGUUCCUGGGAAGUUGGUUCACGGUUUAUUUUGCAGAAAAUGUUGUCAAUACUAGUAAUUGUAAAAUAACCGGCAACUUUCUCUGGGAGCUUAUGUUAAUGCAGUUUUUCUUACUGGUGUUCAAGUUCUAGCAAAAUCCUUAAAAAUGAUUCCAGGUGAUUUUCCCCCCUGACGUGGCCGAAGAGGAAAUUGAUAUGCAUAACUGCUCCUGUGUGAUCCAUUUUGACUUGCCAAAAACAGUUCGUAGUUAUGUCCAAUCACGUGGGCGAGCUCGGCAACAUGUACUAGCAAUGGUAAGAUCAUUGGCUGCACAUGAGAGCAGGAUUGGAAUGGCUGUUAUUUCUUCCCUCUCCAGUUACUCUCUUGGGCACAGGCACAACUACAUAUUGUCAGGUAAACACAGCCAGAAGAGGGAUCUAGACGCUACCAUGUUUGACAGGCGAGGCCGAUAGAAUUGCUGAGGACCACAGGACUUGCUCUAAUGAUUCAAAACCAUUGGAAAUUUCUGAUUCAAUCGAAUCAAAUGGUAAGGAUGGUUCUGUUGAGUACACAGCCAUGUCCAACUUGAAAACAUCCAAGCGGCAUUAUCUAGCCAUGGUCUUCACUUGCAAUGUCUGCAAAACGAGAUCUGUGAAGACGGUCUGUCAUGAAUUAUAUGAGAAGGGAGUGGUGGUGAUCCAUCGUGGUGGGUGUAACAAUCUAACACUUGAUUGUUGAUUAGCUUGGGUGGUUUGGAGAGCCAGGGAGCGUUGAGGAGCUCUUGGCAGCCUGAGGGGAAGAAGUGAAGAAAUGAUCUGUCAAUUCUCUAAACCUAACUGUAGAAUAUUUACUUGGGGCAAGAUCUUCAUGAUUUGAACAAGUUGUAGCAAGUGAUAAGUUCUCUAAACCAAAAUGUAUGCGAGUGCACACAGACUCACCAAGAAUUGUAUUUUCAACAUUAUUGUAAUUGUAAUUGUAAUUAAUUG